ACUCCUACGGGAGGCAGCAGUGGGGAAUUUUGGACAAUGGGCGAAAGCCUGAUCCAGCAAUGCCGCGUGUGUGAAGAAGGCCUUCGGGUUGUAAAGCACUUUUGUCCGGAAAGAAAUCCUUGGCUCUAAUACAGUCGGGGGAUGACGGUACCGGAAGAAUAAGCACCGGCUAACUACGUGCCAGCAGCCGCGGUAAUACGUAGGGUGCGAGCGUUAAUCGGAAUUACUGGGCGUAAAGCGUGCGCAGGCGGUUUGCUAAGACCGAUGUGAAAUCCCCGGGCUCAACCUGGGAACUGCAUUGGUGACUGGCAGGCUAGAGUAUGGCAGAGGGGGGUAGAAUUCCACGUGUAGCAGUGAAAUGCGUAGAGAUGUGGAGGAAUACCGAUGGCGAAGGCAGCCCCCUGGGCCAAUACUGACGCUCAUGCACGAAAGCGUGGGGAGCAAACAGGAUUAGAUACCCUUGUAGUCCCAU
rnacentral:rRNA from 1 species